rnacentral:rRNA from 1 species
AUUGAACGCUGGCGGCAGGCCUAACACAUGCAAGUCGCACGAGUGGCGGACGGGUGAGUAAUGUCUGGGAAACUGCCUGAUGGAGGGGGAUAACUACUGGAAACGGUAGCUAAUACCGCAUACCAUCGGAUGUGCCCAGAUGGGAUUAGCUAGUAGGUGGGGUAACGGCUCACCUGGGCGACGAUCCCUAGCUGGUCUGAGAGGAUGACCAGCAAUACUGGAAGGGAGCCACGGUCCAGACUCCUACGGGAGGCAGCAGUGGGGAAUAUUGAACAAUGGGCGCAAGCCGGAUGCAGCCAUGCCGCGUGUAUGAAGAAGGCCUUCGGGUUGUAAAGUACUUUCAGCGGGGAGGCGUUACCCGCAGAAGAAGCACCGGCUAACUCCGAGCCAGCAGCCGCGGUAAUUC